AGCACUGAAUAUGGCGGGGCUUACUUCUGUGUAAACAUGCAUAGGCUUGCGCUGUCAAGCUGUCAUCAUCCAUCUGUUAAGUUUGUUUUUAGCCCAUAUUCAUAAGUUCUAGUUAUAGCAGUGGUGUGUGUCUUUUGAGCACCUAUGCAAAUGAACCAUAUUUAUCCCAUCCCAGCUCUUCUCUAUGCACUCACUCUAGCACAUAUAAUAAGGAUAAUAAAUACUUGAAGAUGUCUAUUUCUGCAUUAUUCAUUCUGGCUCACUACAGUAUCAUCAAGGUAUCAAUGCUUGCACUUUUAUCUCCCAGUGUGACUGACAGUAAUUUGAUUUCUUUUGUUUCUGCUGCCCUCCCCCCCGCAAAUAUGCUUUUCCUUGCUGUUGUCAAAUCCUUUUCAUAUCUACCACUUCACUCUUUCCUUUCCCUUUCUUUCUGUUAUGUUAAGCUUUAGUCCUUGGCUACAGUUAGACCAUUCGUUAAGGAAAACUCAUGAAGGAGACGUAUACCUGAAGAGGCGUCUCCACCCCCAUCAUUCAGCCCGGACACUGAGGUCCAGCUCUGAGGGCCUUUUGGCGGUUCCUGCACUGCAAGAAGAGCGGGCCUUGCAGAGCCAGGCUGAGACCCGGGCCAGAACCUGAUGAGCUGUACUCAAGGGUACUAAAGGAGCUAGGAGGUGUAAUCUCAGAACCUCUGUCUACCAUCUUUCAGAAUUCUUGGAGAACGGAGAUAUUAUGACUCUGUGCAAAUGCACAGCAGAAGUUUCAUCAAGUGGCAAAGGGCACAUAUCAUAUCCACAUUAAAGUUUCAUUUCUAGUCCCUCACUUGCCUUUUCCUUUUUGCAAAUUUGCAAGAAGGAAAUGCAAAAGGUCUUUUAAAUUCUCAAACACCACAUAAUUUCUUCCGAAUUGCCUGCCACUUGCUGUUUGUUCUAUAAUAAUUCAAAGAAGACUGGUUAUGCCAAGAACCUAAGAAAAAGUGACUUUGGAACAUAUUAGAAAGUUAAAGGAAAUUGAAAGCCUUCAUGAUGUUAAACUGCACAACACAGCU